UCCCUGAUGGCUCAGAUGGUAAAGAAUUUGCCUGCAAUACAGGAGACCCAGGUUCAAUCCCUGGGCUGGGAA
rnacentral:tRNA from 1 species